GACGAACGCUGGCGGCGUGCUUAACACAUGCAAGUCGAACGGAAAGGCCCUGCUUUUGUGGGGUGCUCGAGUGGCGAACGGGUGAGUAACACGUGAGUAACCUUCCCUUGACUUUGGGAUAACUUCAGGAAACUGGGUCUAAUACCGGAUAGGAGCUCCUGCUGCAUGGUGGGGGUUGGAAAGUUUCGGCGGUUGGGGAUGGACUCGCGGCUUAUCAGCUUGUUGGUGGGGUAGUGGAUUACCAAGGCUUUGACGUGUAGCCGGCCUGAGAGGGUGACCGGCCACAUUGGGACUGAGAUACGGCGCAGACUCCUACGGGAGGCAGCAGUGGGGAAUAUUGUACAAUGGGCGGAAGCCUGAUGCAGCAACGCCGCGUGCGGGAAGACGGCCUUCGGGUUGGAAACCGCUUGCGCAUGUGACGAAGCGUGAGUGACGGUAAUGGGUAAAGAAGCACCGGCUAACUACGUG
rnacentral:rRNA from 1 species